CCGCGAAUUCGCCCUUCGGGGCGCACCAGGCGCGAAAACUCUACAAUGCAGGCAACUGCGAUAGGGGAACAUCGAGUGAUACUCAUAUUGGGUGUCUGUCCUUCCGUCUAAAAAACGGGAGUUAGCAAGGGCCGGGCAAGACCGGUGCCAGCCGCCGCGGUAAUACCGGCGGCUCGAGUGGUGGCCGAUAUUAUUGAGUCUAAAGGGUCCGUAGCCGGCUUGGCAAGUCUCUUGGGAAAUCCGGCGGCUUAACCGUCGGUCGUCCGGGAGAUACUACUUUGCUUGGGACUGGGAGAGGCGUGAGGUACUCAGGGGGUAGGAGUGAAAUCCUGUAAUCCUUUGGGGACCACCGGUGGCGAAGGCGUCACGCCAGAACAGGUCCGACGGUGAGGGACGAAAGCUAGGGGCACGAACCGGAUUAGAUACCCGGGUAGUCCUAGCCGUAAACGAUGCUCGCUAGGUGUCACGACAAUCGUGAAUUGUCGUGGUGCCGUAGGGAAGCCGUGAAGCGAGCCACUUGGGAAGUACGACCGCAAGGUUGAAACUUAAAGGAAUUGGCGGGGGAGCAC
rnacentral:rRNA from 1 species